rnacentral:rRNA from 1 species
AUUGAACGCUAGCGGGAUGCUUUACACAUGCAAGUCGAACGAGUGGCGGACGGGUGAGUAUUAUAUCGGAACGUGCCCAGUAGCUGGGUUAACUACUCGAAAUAGUGGCUAAUACAGCAUACUAUUGUAGCGGCCGAUAUCGGAUUAGCUAGUUGGUGGGGUAAAGGCUCACCAAGGCAACGCUCCGUAGCUGGUUUGAGAGGACGACCUGCGACACUGGGACUGAGAGACGGCCCAGACGCGUACGGGAGGCAGCAGUGGGGAAUGUUGGACAAUGGGGGAAACCCUGAUCAAGCCGUCCCGCGUGUAUGAGAAGGCCCUAGGGUUGUAAAGUACUUUCAGUCGGGAGGCGUUACCGACAGAAGAAGCACCGGCUAACUCCGUGCCAGCAGCCGCGGUAAUAC